AUGGAAGUAAAAGUCGUAACAGGUUUCCGUAGGUGAACCUGCGGAAGGAUCAUUAAAAAAUGUGGUACCAAUUAUUGGUACUAAUUAAUCAUCCUACCCUUUGUGAAUUUGUUCGUGACGAAUUUUUUUAAAUGGGUCUUUCCCUAAGUUGGAUUGUAGUAAAAUACAAAAAGACUUAGGGGAAUGACUUUUUAAAAGACUUUUUUUAAAUUAAAACUUUUUGUAUCAUUGUCUAAAUUUAUUUUAUAAUAUAAAAACAACUUUGACAAUGGAUCUCUUGGUUCUCGCAACGAUGAAGAACGCAGCAAAAUGCGAUAAGUAGUGUGAAUUGCAGAAUACGUGAAUCAUCGAAUCUUCGAACGCAUAUUGCACUUUUUAGUUUACUAAAAAGUAUGUCUGUUUGAGUAUCAGUAAAAUAUUCUCACAAACAUAUAUUGUUGUGGUUAUGAGUGUUUUACAACGAUAACAAGUUGUUUCACUUUAAAUUCUUUUUAAUGUUUUACUACCAUUAUAAAUUAAAUUGGAUAAAAUUUUCCUUUAACGAGGAAUAACCUAAACAAUUUUAAAUUUUUAUGGUUGUAAAAUCCAUAAGGAAUCUAUACAUAAAUAACUUGAUCUCAAUCAGAUAAGAGUACCCGCUGAACUUAAGCAUAUCAAUAAGCGGAGGAAAAGAACUAACAAGGAUUCCCUAGUACGGCGAGUGAAGCGGAAGAGCUCAAUUUGAAAUCUUCAAGGUUUGACCUUGACGAAUUGUAGUUUAUAGAAGUGUUUUCUGUUGGAGUUUGGUAAAAGUCUUUGGAAUAGGACAUCAUAGAGGGUGAGAAUCCCGUAUUUGACCAUGACUUUCCAGCUGUGUGAUACACUUUCAAAGAGUCGGAUUGUUGGGAAUGCAGUCCAAAAUGGGUGGUAAAUUUCAUCUAAAGCUAAAUAUUGGCGAGAGACCGAUAGCGAACAGUACCGUGAGGGAAGAUGAAAAGAACUUUGAAAGAGAGUUAAACAGUACGUGAAAUUGUCAAAAGGGAAGCGUUUGACACCAGUGUUGUUUUCUCGAAAAUCAAUUAAUGAGUUCUUGUUUUUAAGUUAUUGUGACUUUAUCAGCGCAUUUCUUAUUUUACUUGACUCAUUGAAUGCACUUUUCGUUUAACAAGUCAACAUCAAUUUCUUUGGUGGUAAAAAGUUUAAAGGAAGUGGCUUGGACUUCGGUUCAAGUGUUUAUAGCCUUUUUUCUAUGCCAUCGGAGAGAUUGAGGUCUGCAGCGUAGAUCCUUCGGGGUUAGAUACCUUUGUGCUAAGUUAUAGUUUUUUAUAGACAACUUGUUGACUAUAAUUAACCUGUAAUUUACUCGCUUAGGCUAUUUUACCUACGCUUAGGAUGUGAG
rnacentral:misc_RNA from 1 species